UACGAAGGGGGCUAGCGUUGUUCGGAAUCACUGGGCGUAAAGCGCACGUAGGCGGCUUGUUAAGUCAGGGGUGAAAUCCUGGAGCUCAACUCCAGAACUGCCCUUGAUACUGGCAAGCUGGAGUGUAGGAGAGGUUGGUGGAACUGCGAGCGUAGAGGUGAAAUUCGUAGAUAUUCGCAAGAACACCAGUGGCGAAGGCGGCCAACUGGCCUACUACUGACGCUGAGGUGCGAAAGCGUGGGGAGCAAACAGG
rnacentral:rRNA from 1 species